rnacentral:lncRNA from 1 species
GGAUAGACAUCCAAGCAGAGCAAGCAUUGCAGUCCAACAAGCAGUGGAUGUAAUGAUAUCAUUCCGCUCACUCGGUACAAACAAAUCACUGUUAGGGUCAAAAUGAGAGCCCUUCUUUCCAGGACUUCUACUCCACUGCAAUAUCACCAACAUUUUUCAUUAGAAUCCAUCAAAGAAUUGGCAUAACAUUGAAGUUCACAAAGAAGGAUGUUGAAGAAACAGAGUUCACUAACCAAGUAGACAGGAUAUGCAAGCAUGGGGAACGGCAGAGCGAACCUUAGUGUUCUUGUUGCUUUAUCCAAACUCCUAUAAAUUUUCUCAGACAACUGCAAAGCAGAUAUGAACAUAUUGCUAUUGAAUUAGAUUCAACAAGAUGAUCAUUUCUUUGUUUUAUGGGAAAGAAGUACAAGGAAUUUACAGGAUGCCACGAUUCAUCAUUUUCGACAUGACCAUGGUUCUGGUGAUGAGUUCUGUGGCUAAUUCUCCUGCGUUCAAGAACAACAUGAUAUGAAACUAUAGUUUAUGUUGUCAUAGAAAGUUAAAGCUACAAAAAAGAAUAAUUUGACCAAACGGGAUUCAGAAAGAUAAUCAAGAACUAACCAUCCAUGAUAUGGAACUAGGAUUGAGGAAUGAAGGAUAUGGCCAACAACACUAUUCAAAUUUGGGUCAUUAGAGAAACUGCCAUGGCCACUGCACAUUCAAAAACAAAAUCAAACUAACCAUUAAGAAAACACACUAUCAAAUCAGGCAAGGGAAUUCCAAGACAAAAAGCAGGUAAAGAUAUUCAAUGGUUCCAAAAGAGUGGAAAUUACCAAUCAUGACCAAGAACAAAAAGAGCCCAAAACAUUGUUCCUUGAGCAAACCAGUAAAGAGGCCAAACAACCCAAUUGUUGAAGUAAGCAGCAACAGCAGCCAAGCCAAAUACCACCACCACAUCCCUCACAACAUAACUCAUUGAUCUCCAAGGAUCCCUAACCCAACAAUGCUUUGGAAUGGCAGCACGAAUAUCAGCCAACCGAAACGGCGGAGGAGCAGCCGGGUCGAAACUACCCUCAUCCUCAACCCCAUUAACCUCAUUAACUCUCUCCCUCUCAUUAUCCUCAUCAACAGAAGCAACUGCCACAGG